rnacentral:tRNA from 1 species
UCACUCAGUUGGCAGAGCACGAGACUUUUAAUCUCAGGGUUGUGGGUUCGAGUCCCAAAUUGGGCAAAA